GAAUUCUGGGAGUCCCUCUUAACCGGAGAAGGCCUGGUCCACUAUCUCAAACCCUAGUGCAUUUGUCCCCUUUUUUCGACACCCUUUUGCAUUUUAAACAAGUUGUUGAUAAUAAAAACAUUUGAUAAUGAAAGAAAAACUUUCAGCAAUGGAUCUCUUGGCUCU
rnacentral:misc_RNA from 1 species